CCUACGGGAGGCAGCAGUGGGGGAUAUUGCACAAUGGGGGGAACCCUGAUGCAGCGACGCCGCGUGGGUGAAGGAGUGCUUCGGCAUGUAAAGCCCUAUCGGCAGGGAAGAAGCAAGACGGUACCUGACUAAGAAGCCCCGGCUAACUACGUGCCAGCAGCCGCGGUAAUACGUAGGGGGCGAGCGUUAUCCGGAUACAAUGGGUGUAAAGGGAGCGUAGACGGCCAUGCAAGCCAGGGGUGAAAGCCCGGGGCCCAACCCCGGGACUGCCCUUGGAACUGGGCGGCUAGAGUGCGGGAGGGGCAGGCGGAAUUCCUGGUGAAGCGGUGAAAUGCGUAGAUAUCAGGAGGAACACCGGCGGUGAAGGCGGCCUGCUGGACCGCGACUGACGUUGAGGCUCGAAAGCGUGGGGAGCGAACAGGAUUAGAUACCCUAGUAGUC
rnacentral:rRNA from 1 species